rnacentral:rRNA from 1 species
GACGAACGCUGGCGGCGUGCUUAACACAUGCAAGUCGAACGGAAAGGCCCUGCUUUUGUGGGGUGCUCGAGUGGCGAACGGGUGAGUAGCACGUGAGUAACCUGCCCUUGACUUUGGGAUAACUUCAGGAAACUGGGGCUAAUACCGGAUAGGAGCUCCUGCUGCAUGGUGGGGGUUGGAAAGUUUCGGCGGUUGGGGAUGGACUCGCGGCUUAUCAGCUUGUUGGUGGGGUAGUGGCUUACCAAGGCUUUGACGGGUAGCCGGCCUGAGAGGGUGACCGGCCACAUUGGGACUGAGAUACGGCUCAGACUCCUACGGGAGGCAGCAGUGGGGAAUAUUGCACAAUGGGCGGAAGCCUGAUGCAGCAACGCCGCGUGCGGGAUGACGGCCUUCGGGUUGUAAACCGCUUUCGCCUGUGACGAAGCGUGAGUGACGGUAAUGGGUAAAGAAGCACCGGCUAACUACGUG